rnacentral:siRNA from 1 species
UUUGGAACCGGUGUCUCCUCA